UUCAACGUUGGUUCCUGUUCUUAGAACAGGCGAAGAGGGAAUGCGAACGGUUUUACGACGCCCAAGAUGUCUAAGCCGAAACGCAGCCGCCCCCGCGACCGUGACCAGAAAGCGCACGCCAUCCACUGGCAAAACCGGGAAGGUGCGUUGCGCGUUGAGGUACUAGCCUCUGAAUCUGCAAGCCGGGAGACCUGCCAACAUGAAU
rnacentral:ncRNA from 1 species